rnacentral:rRNA from 1 species
AGAGUUUGAUCAUGGCUCAGGAUAAACGCUGGCGGCGUGCCUAACACAUGCAAGUCGAACGCGCAUGAGCAAUCAUGCGAGUGGCGGACGGGUGAGGAACACGUGGGUUAUCUACCUUGAGGUGAGGAAUACCGGCGAGAAAUCGCCGACAAUACCGCAUACGUUUCGCAAGAAACAAAGCUCAGCAAUGGGUGCCACAAGAUGAGCCUGCGCCCGAUUAGCUUCGUUGGUGGGGUAACGGCCUACCAAGGCGACAAUCGGUAGCUGGUCUGAGAGGACGAUCAGCCACACUGGGAUUGAGAACGGCCCAGACUCCUACGGGGGGCAGCAGUGAGGAAUUUUCGUCAAUGGGGGAAACCCUGAACGAGCAACGCCGCGUGCAGGAAGAAGGUUUUCGGAUCGUAAACUGCUUUUCUUGGGGACGAGAACGGACGGUACCCAAGGAAUAAGCCCCGGCUAACUACGUGCCAGCAGCCGCGGUAAUACGUAGGGGGCAAGCGUUGUCCGGAUUUAUUGGGCGUAAAGCGCACGCAGGCGGUCUUUUACGUUUUGAGUGACAGGUGGGGGCUCAACUCCCACAGGCCUUGAAAUACGGGAAGACUUGAGGGCUUCAGAGGGACGCGGAAUUCCAGGUGGAGCGGUGAAAUGCGUAGAGAUCUGGAAGAACACCGAAGGCGAAGGCAGCGUUCUGGGAAGCAACUGACGCUCAUGUGCGAAAGCUAGGGGAGCGAACGGGAUUGGAUACCCCGGUAGUCCUAGCUGUAAACGAUGACCACUAGACGUGGGGGGUAUCGACCCCUUCCGUGUCGCAGCAAACGCAUUAAGUGGUCCGCCUGGGGGAGUACGGUCGCAAGAUUAAAACUCAAGGAAUUGACGGGGACCCGCACAAGCAGCGGAGCGUGUGGUUUAAUUCGAUGCAACGCGAAGAACCUUACCAGACUUGACAUGGACUCGCACCAGCCGUAAUGGGCUG